UCAGGAUACAUAGAAAGACACGUAUACUCAACAUUUCCCAAGAUUAUGUCAAAGACAAUAAUCACUUGGAUGAUUUUCUCCUCAUUUGAAUGGAAAGCUUCAGAGAUGUUCUAUAUUGCUGCAAAACAAUCAUAACUGAGCAAAACUGAACUGUUCAAAAUAGCCAAAAUAUAAGAUGUAAUGGGAAAUUAAACUAAAUUUGAUCCCCAUAGGUAAAGAGAAUGCAUUUAUUACUCAUUUGGAAAGGGACAAAGGAAAAGAAGAAAUGGGUAGGCACAAAUAUUUCAGGAUAUUUGUCUGAAGCACAGGAUUUUGCAACUGUUCAAAUUGUGAUACAAAUAUGAAUUUUGUAGUUUAUCUUUAAUAAUAACUGGUCUAUUCUCUUCUCUUGUUUUUAAUUCUGAAAGAAGGAGGAUUAUGAUGCUUUUCAGGAACAGAACCAGCUGUGGUUUGAUCUAUCAUCCGAUACAUCCCAACAGUGGGAAAUACAUCUUACUUGAUUGAUGAAAAUAAUAAUAUACUCGUCUGCUGGAGAAAACAAAUGUCUACUGAAAUUGGAUAAUGACCUAUCCUGCCAUCAUGCUCAGAGAGUCCCGGGCAGGGGCGCAGGAUGCCCCCUGAGAGGUUCGAGAAUCUGAGAGUGGGGAGGACCUUACCCCACUUCCCAAACCAGGUUCAGGAGCUAUAUUGGGCUCUUCAUAUGACAUGCUAUGAGAGACCAGUUCAUCCCUGUGCUCCUGAGCUUGGAGCUUGUUCACACAGCAGCCUUUGCAGAUCAGCACUCCUGCCUCAGUGACAUCAUUGCCCAUGACAGACCUCGGGAAUUGUUAUUUUAAAGGAAAGGAGUAUGUUGCAGAAAUAAGAAGUAAGGAAGGUUGCUGCAAAGACCCAUCUCAUAUUUCAUCCAUUGAAAUUUCUUAAAUGUCAAGUCUGGACGUUUCUUUGUUAAUAAACAUUUCUAUAUUUCUGAGGAAUUUGGA